rnacentral:rRNA from 1 species
AAGUCGGGCCUGCCCACUGAGUAAGAGAGUAGACGGGGAAUUAUGUGCCAGAAAAGGAAGGGAUCAGUUGUUCAUUAGGGGGGGACCGGAAGGAAUGGAACAAAGAGGGUUCGGCUGUCUCUUAAAAUAUCCAAUUUUUCCUGCCCGUGAAGAGGUGGGAAUUACGCAGAAGAAACACAAAACCCUAUGGAGCUUUAUUUAUUUAUGAAACAGAUUUUCCUACAAACCCUGUUUCCUAAACUACGGUUAUAUUCGGUUGGGGCGACCUCGAGAUGAAAAAGACUUCCCAGUCAAAGCGAACUAUUAUACUCAAUUGAUCCAAUUACUAGACCAACGGAACAAGUUACCCAAGGGAUUACAGCAUUCCUAUUCAAGAGUCCAUAUCAACAAUAGGGUUUACGACCUCGAUGUUGGAUCAGGACAAUCCCAUGGUGCAGCCGCUAUAUUAAUAAGUCUGUUCGACUUUAUAAUUCUUAC